rnacentral:rRNA from 1 species
AUGUACAUUCCAACAACAUAGCAUUAAUGCAUUGGAUCCCAUUAUAAAUCCACAGUUAAGUGCACUCAGGAUAGAGUAGUACUGGGAUGGGUGACCGCUCAAGAAUUCCUAGUGUUUUACAUG